rnacentral:misc_RNA from 1 species
UUAAGUUCAGCGGGUAGUCCUACCUGAUUUGAGAUCAAACGUUCAAAAAGCUGUCCUCGCUGUGGAGAGACAUUUAUGAGCCCCAGCGAACCUCCAUCACUGAAGGUUACCUGGUGGGAAACCACAAGCGUAGAUAGUUAUCACACCCGCGAUUGCCACCAAACACUGGCAAGCUGAUCGAUUUGAGAGGAGCUGACCAU